rnacentral:rRNA from 1 species
GAUGAACGCUGGCGGCGUGCUUAACACAUGCAAGUCGAACGAAGACAUCUGAGUGCUUGCACUUGGAUGGACUGAGUGGCGGACGGGUGAGUAACGCGUGGGUAACCUGCCUUAUACAGGGGGAUAACAGUUGGAAACGACUGCUAAUACCGCAUAAGCGCACGGUAUCGCAUGAUACAGUGUGAAAAACUCCGGUGGUAUAAGAUGGACCCGCGUCUGAUUAGCUGGUUGGUGAGGUAACGGCCCACCAAGGCGACGAUCAGUAGCCGACCUGAGAGGGUGACCGGCCACAUUGGGACUGAGAUACGGCCCAGACUCCUACGGGAGGCAGCAGUGGGGAAUAUUGGGCAAUGGGCGCAAGCCUGACCCAGCAACGCCGCGUGAAGGAGAAGGCUUUCGGGUGUAAACUUCUUUUGUCAGGGACGAGUAGAAGACGGUACCUGACGAAUAAGCCACGGCUAACUACGUG